UGAAUACGAGACGCUAAGGCGUCGAAGUAGUGUAUGUCAUACUUCCAAGAAAAGCUUGCACUGUCAUAGAUAAAAAACGCCUGUACCAUAACCGACACAGGUGGGUAGGUAGAGCAUACUAAGGGGCGCGAGAUAACUCUCUCUAAGGAACUCGGCAAAAUAACUCCGUAACUUCGGGAGAAGGAGUGCCUUAUUAUUAAGGCUGCAAUAACAAGAUCCAAGCAACUGUUUAUCAAAAACACAGGUCUCCGCUAAGUCGUAAGACGAUGUAUGGGGGCUGACGCCUGCCCAGUGCCAGAAGGUUAAAGAAGUUGGUUAGCAUUUGCGAAGCUGAUAACUGAAGCCCUGGUGAACGGCGGCCGUAACAAUAACGGUCCUAAGGUAGCGAAAUUCCUUGUCGGGUAAGUUCCGACCCGCACGAAAGGCGUAAUGAUUUGGAUACUGUCUCGGAGAGGGGCUCGGUGAAAUAGACUUGUCUGUGAAGAUGCGGACUACCUGCACCAGGACAGAAAGACCCUAUGAAGCUUUACUGUAACUUGAAAUUGAAAUUGGACUUUAUUCGCGCAGCAUAGGUGGGAGGCGUUGAUUAUAAUCUUGUGGGAUUAUUGGAGCCAUCAGUGAGAUACCACUCUUGUAAUGUUAGAUUUCUAACUUUGAAUCAUUAUCUGGUCAAAGAACAGUUUCAGGCGGGCAGUUUGACUGGGGCGGUCGCCUCCUAAACGGUAACGGAGGCGUACAAAGGUUUCCUCUGAACGGUUAGAAAUCGUAUCUAGAGUGUAAAGGCAUAAGGAAGCUUGACUGUGAGACCUACAAGUCGAGCAGGGACGAAAGUCGGUCUUAGUGAUCUGACGGUACUGAGUGGAAAGGCCGUCACUCAACGGAUAAAAGUUACUCUAGGAUAACAGGCUGAUCUCCCCCAAGAGUUCACAUCGACGGGGAGGUUUGGCACCUCGAUGUCGGCUCAUCGCAUCCUGGGGCGGUAGUACGUCCCAAGGGUUGGGCUGUUCGCCCAUGAAAGCGGUACGCGAGCUGGGUUCAGAACGUCGUGAGACAGUUCGGUCCAUAUCCGGUGUAGGCGUUAGAAUAUUGAGAGGAGCCUUCUUUAGUACGAGAGGACCGAGAAGGACAUACCUCUGGUGUACCAGUUAUCGUGCCAACGGUAAACGCUGGGUAGCUAUGUAUGGAGUGGAUAACCGCUGAAAGCAUCUAAGUGGGAAGCCCACCUCAAGAUAAG
rnacentral:rRNA from 1 species